UGCCAAAACAAUACGUUCGAUGGAAUGUUUGCAACAAUCAAAGAAAUGAAUAGACAUUAUAGAAUUGAUCAUCAAAAUAAACCCAGUAGAGUUUUAACUUACAAAUGUCCCCUAAACGACUGUAAUUACACGUACAAAACUUUGAGCUGGCCUAAUAAACACAUCACAAAUCACCAGUGAAAGAAACGAAAAUCCAAAUUACUAAAAUAAAGGUUUGAUGAAGAAGGUGAACAGCUCAAUAUUGGCCCAUUUAGUACAAACCGGUCAUAGUGCCAGUAUAAACCAAUAUUUUUCAAUUAUUUAUAAGGUAAAUAAUUUCUUGCCAAAACUGAUCAGAAUGAAAGUCCGUCAAACGGCUGCAGCAAUAGCCACCCGGACGAUAAAGCCGGAGCUUUGCGUACAGAAGAAAUACUCAACCAUUCUUCCUGCCCUGGCCAACAUCAAGGUCAAUUAAUCAAUCGUAAUCUUAACUAUUGAAUGAACUAAUUUGACUAUGACUUUUCGUAUUCCAUUGUUAUUGUCCCUGUUAUCUUGAUUUAUAAAUCUUUGUAUUGUUAUUAUUAUUAUUAUUAUUAUUCAUACUAUUGGUUAAACAUCAUCAAUCUUCACUUUACAUGAUUCAUUCAGUUCGCAUUCAUCACUCCAAAUUACGUCUUACUUCUUUGAUCGAAUUGUAAUUGCAACAUUAUUUCUCUCUCACCCUCAUGGAUCUUGAAAUUUUACUUAACUUACAUUCUAUCUGAGUCAUAUUAACAUUAACAAUUUUAUUGUAUUUUGUUUAUCACAAUGCUAAAUUCACAUGCUCAAAACGAUGUACUUUGCCCUUAACCUGGCCAUUUUUUCGGAUUAUUAAUUUGGAUAUAUAAUUGUAGAACCUGAAGAGAAUUUAUCGAAAAAAAUAUUCUUCGUUCAAAUACUAGUCUUUUAAAAAUAAUUCCAUAAAUAAUGUAAAUCGAUGUCCAUACCCUGGCUGCACUAAAAGUCUCCCAACUAAGAAAGGUAUAAUCAAUCACUGCUAUGUAGUACAUAGAUGGUCAGCAAUUACCGGACAGAAAGUAAAAUCAAAAACAAAAAAACUUGCAAACACAACUAUUUAGCCCUGGUAGUUGUGCUGUGCUUCGAUGUAGCCUCUUCUCCGGAAGGGCCUCUUAGGCUUCACCAACUUGUUCGGCUGGAAGGGGCACCACAGGGAUGGGAGGAAAAAUCCGACUCACAUGUCCGCGUCGUGCCUCCUGGAUAGUGAGACGAAUGUCUCAUGAACCAACGUGAGCGGUAACCCGGGUGGUGGAGAUCAGGCUAAUCACCCACUCUACUUAUAAACAGCAACUGAUUACGAACUCCACAGAUAAACACAGCUGAACUACAUUUGGAAUGGAAAAAGUCAAAAAAAUUUCUCGAAACUGUUGCAUGUAUCAUAUGGAGUUGCUCAUCAUUGGGCAAACUCCAAAAGUUUGCAGAAACAACGAAAAUAGUCCCGGUAGUCGUGUAGUGAAUCAAUGUGACCCACAGAGAGACAAAGCACGAUUACGUUUGAAAUGGAAAGUGACAAAACUCUCCAAAGGAUUGCAGAAACAACUAUUCUAGCCACGGUAGUUGUGCCGUGCUUUGAUGUGGCCUGUUCAACUCCAGAAAGGUCAAUCGGCUUCACCAACUUAUUUGACUGGAAAGGGCACCACAGUGAUAAAUAGCUUGUGGCGGCCAAGUGUUCAUAGCGACGUCGGUUUUUGAUUCUUCGAUGUCGGCUGUUUCUAUGAUUGUGAAGUAGAAUUCACCAAGCGUUGGAUUGUUCACCCACUAAUAGGGAACGUGAGCUGGGUUUAGACCGUCGUGAGACAGGUUAGUUUUACCCUACUAAUGAGUACAUCAGUGAAGUACAAUCUGGCCGUUGCUAUGGUAAUCCUGUUUAGUACGAGAGGAACCGCAGGUUCAGAUAAUUGGUAUAUGUGCCUGGUCGAAAGGCCAAUGGUGCGAAGCUACCAUCUGAGGGAUUAAGACUGAACGCCUCUAAGUCUGAAUCCCGUCUAAAUCUGCAACGGUACAUUCUGUCUCCGACACGUGGCUGGGCAAGCUUACGUAUUCCUUUUGGUGUCUGGACUGGACCAUGUGUUCGGCUAGGCCCAUUAGGUCUGGUGUUAUGCCAGAGCGAUGACCAUAAACCGUGCUCCGGAUUUUGGGGUACGGGGGUCGACACGAUAUCUAAUUGUGGUAUGAGCGUGAGGAUACUAAAUCGUUUGU
rnacentral:ncRNA from 1 species